rnacentral:lncRNA from 1 species
GUGGCCUGCAUGCAGUUCAUCAACAUUGUGGUACACUCGGUAGAGGACAUGAACUUCCGGGUCCACCUGCAAUAUGAGUUUACCAAGUUGGGGCUGGAGGAAUUCCUACAGAAGUCAAGGCACACGGAGAGCGAGAAAUUACAGGUGCAGAUUCAGGCAUACCUGGACAAUGUGUUUGACGUGGGGGGCUUAUUGGAGGAUGCGGAAACCAAGAAUGUAGCCCUGGAAAAGGUGGAAGAACUGGAGGAGCAUGUGUCUCAUCUCACAGAGAAGCUUCUGGACCUGGAGAAUGAGAAUAUGAUGCGGGUGGCAGAACUGGAGAAGCAGCUGCUACAGCGGGAAAAGGAGCUGGAGAGCAUCAAGGAGACAUACGAGAACACAAGCAACCAGGUGCACACCCUUCGGAGGCUCAUUAAGGAGAAGGAGGAGGCCUUCCAGCGCCGAUGCCACCUGGAGCCAAGUGCCCGGAGCCUGGAAUCCAUGGGUGGGAGCGAGGCCCUAGCCAGGGUAGGCCCUACAGAGCUGACUGAAGGCUCGACACCCUCCGACCUGGACCUGCUGGCUCCAGCCCCACCUGCUGAGGAGACUCUUCCUCUGCCUCCUCCACCAGCCCCGCCUUUGCCCCCACCCCCUCCUCCACUACCAGGUAACUG